AUUGAACGCUGGCGGCAGGCCUAACACAUGCAAGUCGAACGAGUGGCGGACGGGUGAGUAAUGUCUAGGCACCUGCCUGGUGGCGGGGGAUAACUACUCGACACGGUAGCUAAUACCGCAUACCAUCAGAUGUGCCGAUAUGGGAUUAGCUUGUUGGUGGGGUAAGGGCUCACCAAGGCAACGAUCCCUAGCUGGUUUGAGAGGAGGACCAGUCACACGGGAAGUGAGAAACGGUCCAGACUCCUACGGGAGGCAGCAGGGGGGAAUAGUGGACAAUGGUGGCAACCAUGAUGCAGCCAGGCGGAGUGUAUGAAGAAGGCCUUCGGGUUGUAAAGUACUGUCAGCGGGGAGGCGGUACCCGCAGAAGAAGCACCGGCUAACGACGUGCCAGCAGCCGCGGUAAGAC
rnacentral:rRNA from 1 species